GAACGCACAUUGCGCCCUUUGGUAUUCCGAAGGGCAUGCCUGUUCGAGCGUCAUUACAACCACUCAAGCUCACGCUUGGUAUUGGGGUUCGCACAUCAGCGGCCCCUAAAAACAGUGGCGGUGCUCUUAAGCUCUACGCGUAGUAAUUCUCUCGCUAUAGAUCUUAAGGGUGUCUUGCCAGCAACCCCCAAUUUUUAUCAGGUUGACCUCGGAUCAGGUAGGGAUACCCGCUGAACUUAAG
rnacentral:misc_RNA from 1 species